AUCCCCUAGCGUAUUCUAAGAAGAGAUCAUCCCUCGGUGCUGCGUGGUAGAGAGUUGCGUAUAGCUGUAGCGGAGAGUGAGGAGAGGAGAAGCGUUCUGUGUAGAAGGGACACCGGGAAAGCGUAAUCAAUGAGGGUGCAAGCAAUAUUUAUAUAGAAGGCGGAUUCCAAACGUUGAAACACCCUCAUAACGGAAGGGUGAUAAAGGGGGGGACAAGCGCUCGGUUCCGAGGGAGAACGCUUUCCCUCAUUUGUUUCUACUAAGAAGGAGCGACCGAAUCCCUUGCAAUCAUGGGGAACCGGGGGAUGGAAGACCUUAUUCCUCUUGUGAAUAAAAUGCAAGAUGCCUUCUCGGCUAUCGGUCAAAAUUCCCAGUUGGAUCUACCUCAAAUCGCUGUGGUCGGCGGGCAGAGUGCAGGGAAAAGCUCGGUGUUGGAGAACUUCGUUGGGAAAGAUUUCCUUCCCCGUGGCUCUGGCAUCGUCACCCGCCGUCCUUUGGUCCUCCAGCUGAUCAACUGUCCCACAGAAUAUGCAGAGUUCCUUCACUGUAAGGGGAAGAAGUUCACAGACUUCGAUGAGGUUCGUGGGGAGAUCGAGGCCGAGACGGACCGCAUCACUGGGCAGAAUAAGGGAAUCUCACCUGUGCCAAUAAAUCUCAGGGUCUACUCCCCGCAUGUCCUGAAUCUGACUCUGGUGGACUUGCCGGGGAUGACCAAGGUCCCAGUAGGGGACCAGCCUGCGGACAUUGAGCAGCAGAUCAGAGACAUGUUAUAUCAGUUUGUGACCAAGGACAACUGUCUGCUGCUGGCUGUUUCCCCGGCCAACUCUGAUCUGGCCAACUCGGAUGCCCUGAAGAUUGCCAAAGAAGUGGACCCACAGGGUCAGCGAACCAUUGGUGUGAUCACCAAGCUGGAUCUGAUGGAUGAGGGGACUGACGCCAGAGAAAUUCUGGAAAAUAAGCUGCUCCCACUGCGAAGAGGUUACAUUGGUGUGGUGAACAGGAGUCAGAAGGACAUAGAUGGGAAGAAGGACAUCACAGCGGCCAUGGCUGCAGAGAGGAAGUUCUUCCUGACCCAUCCUGGAUACAGACACCUGGCUGAACGCAUGGGCACCCCCUACCUACAGAAAACACUCAACCAGCAACUGACCAAUCACAUCCGGGACACUCUGCCGGGGCUGCGGGCCAAGCUGCAGAGCCAGCUGCUGUCUAUAGAGAAGGAGGUGGAGGAGUACAAGAACUUCAGACCUGACGACCCCUCCCGCAAGACCAAGGCCCUGUUGCAGAUGGUGCAGCAGUUCUCAGUGGACUUUGAGAAGCGUAUCGAGGGUUCUGGGGACCAGAUCGACACAGCAGAGCUGUCAGGCGGGGCCAAGAUCAACCGCAUCUUCCACGAGCGCUUCCCCUUCGAGCUGGUCAAGAUGGAGUUUAACGAAAAGGAGCUUCGCAAGGAGAUCAGCUACGCCAUUAAGAACAUCCACGGCAUUAGAACUGGCCUCUUCACCCCGGACAUGGCCUUUGAGACCAUUGUGAAAAGGCAGAUCGGCAAGAUCAAAGAGCCCUGCCAGAAAUGUGUGGACAUGGUCAUUUCUGAGCUAGUCAAUACCGUUAGGCAGUGUACUCAGAAGCUGGCUCAGUACCCCAUGCUGAGGGAGGAGAUGGACAAGAUUGUCACCCAGCAUAUCCGAGACCGCGAGAGUCGCACCAAGGACCAGGUGAUGCUGCUGAUUGACAUUGAGCUGGCCUACAUGAACACCAACCAUGAGGACUUCAUUGGCUUUGCCAAUGCUCAGCAGAGGAGCAGCCAGGUGGCCCAGAAGAAGCAACCUGGCAACAAGCAGGAUGAAAUCAUGGUGAUCAGGAAGGGCUGGCUGACCAUCAACAACAUUGGCAUCAUGAAGGGAGGAGCCAAGGAGUACUGGUUCGUCCUGACCGCUGAGUCCCUGUCCUGGUACAAGGAUGAUGAGGAGAAAGAGAAGAAGUACAUGCUCCAAGUGGACAACCUUAGGCUGAGGGAUGUGGAGAAGAGCUUCAUGUCGAGCAAGCAGAUCUUCGCCCUGUUCAACACUGAGCAAAGGAAUGUGUAUAAGGACUACCGUCAGCUGGAGUUGGCCUGCGAGACUCAGGACGACAUAGAUGGGUGGAAGGCCUCCUUCCUUAGAGCCGGGGUGUAUCCAGAACGCGUCACGGAAAAGGAGGGCAAGCAGAGUGAAAGUGGAGACGGAGAGAAUGGCUCAGAUAACUUCAUGCACUCCAUAGACCCACAGCUGGAGAGGCAGGUGGAGACCAUCCGAAACCUGGUGGACUCCUACAUGGCCAUUGUCAACAAGACCAUCAGGGACCUCAUGCCCAAGACCAUCAUGUACCUCAUGAUCAACAACACCAAGGAGUUCAUCAAUGCAGAGCUGCUGGCCAACCUGUACCACUCUGGGGACCAGAACAGCCUGAUGGAGGAGUCCCAGGAGCAGGCCCAUCACCGCGACGAGAUGCUCCGCAUGUACCAUGCCCUGAGGGAGGCCCUAAACAUCAUCGGAGACAUCAGCACUACCACUGUCACCACCGCCAUGCCGCCGCCUGUAGACGACUCCUGGCUGAGGCCGGGGGGAAACAACUCUGGGGGAAGGUCCCCAGCCAGCAGUCCCACUCCGAACAGAAGGGCUCCCCCAGGUCCCCCUGGUCGCCCUGUCUCCCGUGGCUCAGCCCCUGGCCUCCCUCCUGGCCCCCCUGUCCCCUCUCGCCCAGGGGCCUCCCCGGACCCUUUCGGUGGGCCCCCCCCAUCAGUCCCCUCCCGGCCUAACCGCGCACCCCCCGGUGUGCCCAGGGGGAUGUGAAGACGCCAGGAGGAUGGAUGGAGAAUCACUAUCAGUGACCAAUGAGGACUAACGCUUCUGUGGUCAAGGGGGUGAGUGAAGACGUCAGGUUUAAAACCACCAACAACCCAAUCAGUGAUGGUCUAUAUACAGAAACCUAUAUACACACACACACACACACACACCUACCUAUACAGUGCACCUCUCCUGCUCGCAUGUCACUCAUGCGUUCCAUUGCUGUUUGAGACAUGUGAGUUGACCCCCCUUUCUAUCAGUGGACUCUGUCUGUAGUUUGUUGUAUUUUUGACCCCGUUGGUAAUAAUAGUACAUGGGUUCAUUAACCUACCCACAAACCCCUGUUUCAGUAUCCAUAUCGUACUCACCUCAUACAAACCUACCCCUCUUCACAACACCCUUGGGUCUUAGCAACAGCCAAUAAAUAAAGCUAUUAUGAAAUUAAUUAUUAAGAGUACAUUUUAUCAUGGACAUAUCUUACUUGUGUAAUGUGUCCUGUGUGGUGCAUCGUCUGAAACUGUGUUCCACUUGUGUAGACGUUAGUUGACAUUGUAUGAAUACUGAAUAUUAAAUUAUUACAAAUAAG